rnacentral:rRNA from 1 species
UACGUAGGGGGGCUAGCGUUGUCCGGAUUUAUUGGGCGUAAAGAGCGUGUAGGCGGCCAUGUAGGUCCGGUGUGAAAACUCGAGGCUUAACCUCGAGAUGUCAUCGGAAAACCAUUUGGCUAGAGUCCGGAAGAGGAGAGUGGAAAUUCCUGGUGUAGCGGUGAAAUGCGCAGAUAUCAGGAGGAACACCGGUGGCGAAGGCGGGUCUCUGGGCAGUAACUGACGCUGAGGCGCGAAAGCCAGGGAGCGAACGGG